UACGGAGGAUCCAAGCGUUAUCCGGAUUUAUUGGGUUUAAAGGGUGCGUAGGCAGAUUGAUAAGUUAGAGGUGAAAUGUCCGAGCUCAACUCGGGAACUGCCUCUAAUACUGUUGAUCUAGAGAGUAGAUGCGGUAGGCGGAAUGUAUGGUGUAGCGGUGAAAUGCUUAGGGAUCAUACAGAACACCGAUUGCGAAGGCAGCUUACCAAUCUAUAUCUGACGUUGAGGCACGAAAGCGUGGGGAGCAAACAGG
rnacentral:rRNA from 1 species